rnacentral:rRNA from 1 species
UGGGGAAUUGUUCGCAAUGGGCGCAAGCCUGACGACGCAACGCCGCGUGGAGGAUGAAGGUCUUCGGAUCGUAAACUCCUGUUGCCCGGGACGAAAUGUUCAGACCUAAUACGUCUGAGUUUGACGGUACCGGGUGAGGAAGCCCCGGCUAACUCUGUGCCAACAGCCGCGGUAAUACAGAGGGGGCAAGCGUUGUUCGGAAUUACUGGGCGUAAAGGGCGCGUAGGCGGCCCUCUAAGUCGAACGUGAAAUCCCUGGGCUCAACCCAGGAACUGCGUCCGAGACUGGGGGGCUAGAAUCCGGGAGAGGGAUGUGGAAUUCCAGGUGUAGCGGUGAAAUGCGUAGAUAUCUGGAGGAACAUCGGUGGCGAAGGCGGCAUCCUGGACCGGUAUUGACGCUGAGGCGCGAAAGCGUGGGGAGCAAACAGGAUUAGAUACCCUAGUAGCCUGAGCGGGCUGGCAAGGCGCAU